AGCGUUGGAGACAUUUUACACGGGAAGAAGACCUCUCAAGAUCAAAUCGGCUGGUGGUAUAUCAACUUGAAGGUUGGACCUGAUGGAUAUCUAUCUACAUUUGAAAACUGCAAUCGGAUCAAGAACGAUAAUUCUUCUGCUCACCUUCUAAAUUCAACAAUAAAAUAUCUUGUUUGGUAAGUGAAAUUAUCCUUUGCAUCAUCAACAUCAAGCAGGGAUUUAGUUAAAAUUUGGCAAGUGAAAUGGAUCGACGAUCUAUCUUGUUUGUUAGUUUCACCGAAUCAUAAUGAUAAGUUACGUACGGACGUACGGAUAACAAAUCAAUCUCUCAAUCAUAAGCCAUUAUAGUAUUACACUACUGAUCUGAUUAAAACUAGCAUACAAAUCAAUCACCUCAUCUGGGGUGGUCGGUCUUACCGGAAGUGAAAAACUAGUUCAGCUGCUAUAUACACGAAAGAAAUUCACUUCAUUGGAGAAUUCAUUGGUUAAAGGACCAUUAUGCAUGUACAGCUCUGGUCAAAUAACAUCAGGUACAUUAAUUAGUUGAAAAUCCAAAAGAAAGAAACGCAUCCCCCACAAAAAAGCAAAAAAAGGAAAAAAAAAAAAAAAAACCUGGAAGAAAGGCGUGGCCUUCCCUUUGCCUAUAUGACUUGCCUGUGUACCCUUUGGCAUCCAUGAAAUGAUGAUCAAAGGGCAAUUGCAUCCACGUAUAAACAAGU